AUACGGAGGAUCCGAGCGUUAUCCGGAUUUAUUGGGUUUAAAGGGUGCGUAGGUGGUUUGAUAAGUCAGCGGUGAAAGUUUGCAGCUUAACUGUAAAAAUGCCGUUGAAACUGUGGGACUUGAGUGUACAUGAGGUAGGCGGAAUGCGUGGUGUAGCGGUGAAAUGCAUAGAUAUCACGCAGAACUCCGAUUGCGAGGGCAUCUUACAAAGAUUCAACUGUCAGUGAAGCACGAAAGCGUGGGGAUCAAACAGGAUUAGAUACCCUGGUAGGCCACGCAGUAAACGAUGAUUACUAGCUGUUUGCGAUACACAGUAAGCGGCACAGCGAAAGCGUUAAGUAAUCCACCUGGGGAGUACGCCAGCAACGGUGAAACUCAAAGGAAUUGGCGGGG
rnacentral:rRNA from 1 species